rnacentral:lncRNA from 1 species
AACAAUCCAACAAACCAACAUUAUUCGACAAGUUCAUCAUUCAACAAGUUCCUUCACACUAAAGCUUCUACCAAAGCAAACAAAUACCACCCUCUAAAUUUCCUCCUUUUUUUCAACCAUCUCCAUCUCUAUCGUCAAACUCAUCUCCCUCAAAACUCACUAUCAUAAAUAUCCCAUAAAGUAUAAAAUUUGUUAAAAAAAUAUUUCAAAAUCUGAUGAACAAAACAACAAGGACAACAAUUUCAGUGAGCUAGAGGUACAGUCAUCAUGACGUCGAUGCCAACAUAACCAGUUCUUACUCCGACUUCUCCUUGUCUUUUUCAACAAAGUUGUGAUGCUAGAGAAAUUCAAAAUAGAAACCAUCUCACUCUUUCAAUGACCGUAAAAUCAAACAGUAAAACAAUGAUGAGCCAUGGUGAAAAAAACUAUCAGUAAAUUGAAAAUUCCAGAUCUAGCCGAAAAUACAAAAAAUAACAAAGAACAGGUUUUAACUCCAGCGAAAUGGUUAGUUGUUUCAGUGACUUCUCCAUUUUUUAUAUGAUAUUGUUUGACGUUCAUGACUUUUGUUAUUUUUGUUAUUGAUUAGUUUGUUUCUAAUGUUGUCAGAAUGAUUGUUACUAUUUUCAAGCGUUUCCGUACUUUUUGAUCUUUUUUUGGUGAAUUUAUCCAUCUAUAUUUUGUUAGCAUUUUGUAGGUCGUAUAUUUUUUGGGUUUAAUUAUAUUACUCUUUAUUAGUGUAUUAUUUAUUUUUUCUGAUUUGUUUCAUUUUCAUACCAUUGAUAUUUUGUUUCCCAAAUGGUGUAGGUGUUAUUUUAAUUAUUUACGUAUCUCUCGGCUCUACAUUGUUUUAGUUAGUUUCAAAUUUUCAAUUGAAUUUUAUCUUGGUAUAGAUGUGAUCUUUAUAUAUUUUAAUAGUAACUAUUUUUUUUCCUAUUGUGAAUUAUUUUUUUAGUUAUUUUGUACCUUACAUGUUUUAUUGUUUUUAUAGAUCAAUACUUAGCCAAUGAUAAAAUCUUUCUAUUGGAUUUUCUAGGCCAUCACAUUACAAAAGAUGAAUGUUAGUUCAAGUUUGAUUAUUUAUUUAUUUCUUUUCACUGAGUUUUAAUGCUUGGCCAUCAUAUGUAUGCAUAUGAGAUGGGGCUUACUUUUGUUUAUUAUUUAUUUUAUUUAUUCAUUUUGUUUAAUGAUAGGAAAAUACUAGGACAUUUCAUUAUUCAUGAUUUACUUAAUGAUUUGUGUAUAUUUUAUGUUUAUAAAAACUCAUAAAAAUGUUAUUUUAUCUCCUCUUCAAUUGAAAAACUGAGUUCAGUUGGGACACACUUUUAUAGAUUUCGAAGGGUGUCUAACACCUUCUCUUUGAAAUAAUCUAAGCCCUUACAUAGAAUCUAAUUGGUUACGCAGGCUAAUUUUUUAAAAAUUUAAUUAAUAUGUUUCCCAGUUUUCCUAAAAUUAGGUGGCAACUUUCUCCAAAUUUUAAAACUAAUUAUUUGAAUUAAUUUUUUGAGUCUCAAAAUUGCGAACAUAUGAAAAUAUGAAUGUGACACUCAAUAUGGUCACUGUAAAUUUAUUGUUAUGUCUUUUGAACUGACGAAUUCUCCUGCAGCUUUUAGGACUUGAUGAACAGAGUGUUCAAGUGGUACUUGGACAUAUUUGUCAUAGUAGUUUUAUAUGAAUUUGUCACGACCCAACUUUUCAGGUCAUGAUGACGCCUACUAUAACCCUAUAGUAGGCAAUCCAAACCCACAGUAUGGAACAAUUAGUAACGAACUACUCAAAUAUAUAAAGGAAGAAUUGUGGAAUAGAUGAAAUAGAGAAAGAAUUGCAUAAUAUAAUCCCAAAACCUGUCGGUGUCAGGACAAGAGCUAAUAAUAAUACAAGAGUACAAACUGAAGUACAAAAGAAUACAUUAAUAUAACUUAUCUCUGAAUACAACAUAAAGACUAGUCUAUUAUAUAAGAGAGAGAUAAGUAAUACUCUAAACAUCAGGAGCUCACUCUAAGUAUCUGAAUUAUGGUUGCUCUGUAUGAAGCACAUAUUAAUGAUACGAUAACCCAUACUAUGAUCUGUAGGCUACAGAAGUAUUGUAUGAGAAUAAAAGGAAUUGUAGUCAGUCGGCAACUUCGAACUGAGUUCCAAAGAUAAAGCUGAUAUAUAUAACAUAUAAAUAAAAUAAAAACUACACCGAAGAGUCUAGUAACCAUAUAACAAAGCCAUUGGUAUAAUAAGGAUAUUCUAUCCUAUUCAUGUUCAAGAGACUAACAUAUUAAGUCUAAGAAAAUACCAAGGGUGAACUUCCCUAUUCAAGACAUACUUAGAAAUUUCAACACUAUACCCUAUAUCAAUGGCCAAUAUAUGAAUAAAGGACAAAGGAAGGAUAUAUAGCAAUAAAUAAGGAAAAGAAAUGAAUAUACAAUCUAAACAAAUAAAGGAAGGGAUAUACGGUAAUACCAUAGCUACAUAUAGCUAGAUAUACAUAUAUAAAGAUAUAAGGUCAACUCGAAGCACAACCUAGAUCGUUAUAUCUUUAUUUUAAGGCCUUAUUAUAAUCCUAUCAGGAUUUAUUACUAACCACUCCAAGCUUCUAAUCCAUAUAUCUCAGCAUGAACUAACCAUACAUAAUAAUUAAAUUGUAGGAUAGAAGCGGUCAGAAUCAUACCUCAAAUAUCGAUGCAGAAUUAAUACUAAUCUGUCAUAACUAGACAUAACAAUGAUCAUAAAAAUUAUGAUAACAAUAUCAAUAACAGCCUGAGUAAUCGGCUAUUUUGGAUAACCAAAUACCUAGCCGAGCCUAUGUAUACCCCCACUGCCCUAGGCUCAAAAGUUUUAAUCAACAUAUAAAAACAACACAAGGCAUAGUUAUCACCAAUAUUUAUAAAACCGUCCCUUACUGGCUGAUAGAUAUAGGUGUACACUGAUGAUAGGAGAUGCACAUGCAAGAAUGAAUGCAGGAUACAUAAUCAAUAUAAUCAUCCUCUGGCCUUGCCGGGUAUCAAUAGCAUCAUCAUAAGGUCCUCCGACAUUGUCGGUCAUGAUCACAUCAUCAUAAUAUCCUUUGGCCUUGUUGGGCAUCUCCACAUCAUUAUAAUAUCUUUCAGCCUUGCCGAGUAUCAUUAUAUCAUCAUAAUAACCUCCGACCUUGUCGGGCAUCAUAAAAUCUUCAUAAUAUCCCCCAGCCUUUAUGGGCAUCAUCAUAAUAUCCAAAUCAAUAUCAGUAAUAGAGAGCGAACCCUGUGAUGGUUAAAGUAAAGUGCAAUCCCCAUGAGGACUAAAGAACAAGCACCACGAGGGAUAAAGUAAAUAACAAGCCCCACAAGGGCUAAAGUAAAUGACAAGCCCCACAAGAGCUAAACUAAAUGAUCAUGAGAAGAGAAGCAAGGUAAUUAUAUUUUCAUGAUCCAUCGCUCAUCAUCAAUAUCACAUUAUCCGUAAGCAUAUAUACAUAAUAGGUGUGCGGAUGCAAGUCGUGGUUAAAAGAGUGUAAAUCUAUAAGUUGGUUACCCAGAGUAAACUUCAAGAAUAAAUCUCUGUAAAAGUGUAGAAAGGGUCAGAAUAUCUCAUGACCAAAUUGAAUAGUAGUGUCGAAUCUUGGGCCAGAAUAGAUCUCAGUCAAAUCUUUAAAUCAUCAUCAUUAACCUCUUUUAUACAUGUAAAUUAUUCAUUAAGUUAUGUAGUUAUUAUUAUAAAGAAAUCUGUUUUAAGGUAGAAGCUGGGCUUUAGCCCUUUGUUAGUGAACAAUAAUAAUAUUAUAAUAUUAUUGGAAUCAUAUCAAUCAUUGAUGCAACAAUCAUUAAUGUACUGAAUCUAUGCAUGUCAUUACCAGUAUUCAAACAUUGGAAUCAUAAAUAUCAUAUUGCACCUUCUUCCAUCCCAUAUCAAAAAUAUGUACAUAUAUGAAUAUUUAUAUAUUCAUAAACUACAACCAUAUCAUUUACAAGGGUAAUUACUUCCCGAAUAUCGAACCAAUAUCAUACACGACCGUUGGCCCAAUAAUAUUUCUCGAAUAAUCAUAACAUUAUAAUCAUGGCCUUAGGCCCACAUGCAUAUCUAGAUCUCACAUCAAUAAACAUGUAUGUAUAAAUUAUCUCAUAACUAUAGGACAUAGCAUAUUCAUAAGGUGUAACAUCUCUAUAAGUUAUGAAGAAUAUCCAUAAUCAUCUCACAUAUAUGAGGCAUCUUACUUCUAGGAGGCAUAAUGCAUUAAUAAGCAUAACUCAUACUAUGAGGCAUAUCACAUCUAUAAGGUAUCUCGUGUAAAUAAGUCAUAUAUCAUGAAUAUGAGAAAUAUCAUAUCCAUAGGCCAAUUAUCAUAUUGAAGAGGAAUAACAUAUCAAAAGUCCCAAUAUCACAUCUAAGAGGAAAUAACAUCUCUAAUGGCCUAAUAUUAUUUCUAAAACGAAUAUCAUAACCAUAAGCCAUUAGUCAUUAUUUGGGUGAAAGUACCAUCACUAUUCGUCAACCAAAAAGUAAUCUUACAUUAAGGUUUACUAGUUCGAACUAUGUCUAACAUCCUUAAAUAAGUCCAUAAAAGCUAACAUAAGUCUUGGCUUAAGGUGGGUCGGACGAUCCCACUUCUAAUCCUCAAUUUUCAUACUUAGGCAAUCUACAUGCCAAACUAGGCUAAGGUAACAAGUUCAACUUCCAAAUGUCAAGGAAGCCAUAACCAAUCCUAUGAUAGGAACUUCAUUUAGAAACAAGGUUAGUUAAGUGAACUUCACCUAAACUAAGUUUCAAGAUCACAACAAUAUACCAAAUAAAGUGAAACAUACUAACCAUACUUCUAAUGCUAAAACCACAUCUCAAACCUAGCAUUAUAGUGUAUUCAUUCUACAAAUUAGUUCAAUAUCGGGAGAAGCCAAUAAGAUUCAAAAAGGUACUAAGCAUUUCACCUUACGAGCUAAAAACUCUCAUCUAGUUCCCCAACUUCAAUAGUCAAGACUAAGGCAUUCUACUUACAAUCAAUCUUAAUGUUCAUAUUCACACACAAUAUAUAUCACACAUCAUCUAUGAAGAAGAAUAGAUAGAAGCCUACCUCAAAGCCGAACCGCAAAAUCGUACAUUAUUCACCACACGUCCAUUUUUACUUCACAGUCCCCAAAAUUCCAUCAAACUAUUGUGCUUGGGUCCAAAAAUGAUGCCAAAACCCAAGUAGGUUCCACUUAUGGAAAACGUGUUUCUGAGGUCAACCCAAUGUUCAUACAUGGACAAGGAAUUAUAACCAUCAAGAAAUAUGUGAAAAUAAGCAUUUUUGGGGCCAAAACCAAGACCUAAGAUAUUUUGGGCUUUUAGGUUCAAAUUAAGAAUUUCAAGCAUGAAUUCAAAGGAUUCUUACCUGAAAUUUGAAGAUAUUUGCAAUAAUAGAUGGUAAUCUAGCUCCUAAGUCACCCAUAAUGAUCAGUUUUGAGUUAUCAUACCUAUUUAGAGAUUUUUACUCUUAAGGGUGAGAGAAAAUGCCUAAAUUUGUGACAUUGGGGUCUAUGAGAUCCAGAGAUUGACACAAGUGGGAUACAAUCGCACAAGGGCAAUAGAGAUAGGGCUCACCACGAUCGCGCUAACCUCUAUCAUCACAGAUGAUAAUACUUAUGCCUCGAGAAUUAUCCAGAAUUCAAUUUUCACAAAUAAACUAUGUAACCCCACUAAAUAAGACAUUUCAGAUGCAUUGGAGAAGUCAAAUUUUAAAUAUAAUGUCUUUUCAACCAAAUAUGGGUCCUACACUCAUAUUUCUAAAUUUUCUACUUUUCAACUAAUCGGCCGAAAUGAGCUUGGGUGCAUCGAGACCCAAACUAAUAGUCUACCUAGACUAAAAUUGAUAUUCCAGAGCUGCUAAUGCAAUUAGAAUUUGAUUUUGUGAUCAUCUUACUAAUGUUUUUGCCUGAUGGCCAUUUAGAACUAGCAAAGACUACUAAAUAGGGAAUUGGUUUUAAAAACCAAGCAAACUGCUCGAUAACCAAAUAGUCAGUCCUAGCAAGUCAUAAAUGACUUGGGGAUGAGAUAGAUAAGUUCAAACAGUAAAGAUAAGCCAAAAUAUAUGAAAUAACCUGAAGGGUCAUUACAAUAUUCACUAUUAAAAGGACUUUUGUCCCAGAAAGUUAAUGGAUAAAAAGAAUCUAAAAAUCUUAAAGGGAUGAGGUGCUGGACUCGCAUGCUCUGAGAAUGUCAUAUGUUCCAUUGUUUUAUGGAACAUUUGAUGCUUAUAAUAGUAAAAUUAUACAUUGACUUAGGUUAUUUUGUUGGUAUGAUGUGUGUCUUAUGUGUUCUUUAGGGGAAAUAGGUCGGAAGUAGUGCUAAAAAAAUAAAAGAAAGUGCUAAAAUAUUGAUGUUUUGUUCAAGGUAUGAGUUGAUAAGUUACCUUAUGACUCGUAGCUAGACUCGCAAAGAUAACUGUGGGCAUAAAAAGUAUGCAAAAGUCAAGUUAAGGAAGACUACGAGUCACAAAGUCUAACUAAGACUGAUAGUGUAAAGUCAUAAUGAGAAAAGUGUACAAAUCCCUAAAUAUUGAUUCUCUAGUGGUUAAUAUUUAAGGACAUAAGUCAUAAAGACUUACUACGACUCGUGGUGAGGAGUUUUAAGGUUAGCAGAGUCAAAAUCCCUAAAGAUAAAAGUUCACUAGAGUGCCUACAACUAUUUACAUAGGACUCGUAAAGAGACUAAACGAUUCAUAGCCACUGAAGCCUGAAGAAAAAUAUGACAGAAAGUAAUGAGUCACAACCAGACACAACAACUCAUUGCCAGAAUCGUAACUAGUGCCGACUUACUUUUCCUAUAUUGUUUCGAUUAAGAAUCCUUUGCUAUUUUGAGAUACAAUAAAUACUUUAGGGUUAUUCCUUUAUUUUGUUACACAUUUUUGAUAUUUUUAUUCAUAAUUUCACAUACUUUGAUCAUUGAUAUUAUUGCUCAUGAGUUUUUUGGUUUAAUAUUUAAUUAGAGAUUUUGGAUUUUACUCUUUCAUAAUUAUGCAAGUCAUUACAUAUUUUGUUCAUUGAUUAUAAUGGAUUAUUGCAUAAGCAUGACCGGCUAAUUUCCUUGACUAGGGUUGUGGGAACCCUAGUGGAUUAGCUAGGUAAGGGAAGUGGGAAAUUAUAUAUUCUAUUAUAGUUGCGUGUAUUAUAAUUUUCCUUAUUGUAAUCGUACCCCAAGCUACUUGAUGAGUGGUAUUUCUACCACCCAUUAAUACUCAUUAUUCAGCAUAAUGCCUUGAUUUGAAUGCAUAAAUGAAACAAACUUAUGGUUAGAUGCACUAACAUCCACUCGAUGCAGGCAAAAAGAUAAGGAGGUCAAAAGAUAUGGAUUGGAGUUGAAAAUUAUAAAAGGGAAGCAUCGAAGAGUGCAGCUGAAGAUAUGGUUUGCAUCAGCCUUAGUUACUGUGACAACAGUCCACUAAUUGUAGUCGUGAUCAGUGAAGAUGGUCAGAGCAAUAUGUUCAAGGAUUCUAACUGCGGUCGCAUCGGGCGGUCACAGUCAAAUACUUGCGAUCGCGGAUCAGUAGGAACUGGUCCAAGAGCAGAAUUGUUAAAUGUCAUGGAUGAAUCCCAAAUCAUACAUAAGAAUAAACCCUUUCUUCUUUGGGUAUUGCUUGUCUUACAAUAUAGUUUUGAAUUAUAAGCUUGAAACCCCAAUUGGGUAAGUGUGUAAUUAACUUUGGAGACUCAAAUUUCUUAAUUUCUUAUUGAAGAAUGA